AGCCAAGAGCAGAAAAAACUUUUUCUAAUCUUUAUAAUCAUGCCUGGGUCUCUAUCAGGUAAGUCACACUAAGGAAGACCACAAAGCAGUAUUAUCACUUUAUCCUAUGACGAUGAGUCUAAACUAAUUUUAGGUUAGAUUUUUAAUUUACUACUUAAUUUUACUGCUUACCCUAUAGCAAUGGUUAGAGAAUUUUGAGUAUGCUUCUCCAUCGUGAUCACUCAUUCAAUGAAAAUAAGACAAUAUAAGUCAGUGUAAAGUUUCUUCUUUUUUUAAAAAUUAAAACGUAGCACCCAAGCAUCUUUGAGAUGGCACCUAUUUAGCAUCUCAAUGGUUAGAAAUUGCAGUCAUGAAGUCCUUUGCUGCACCAGAAAUUUCCAUGGAGACUCCUGAAAUAUUAGGUGUGCCAACCACAGAGCAGCUAGGCUAGAUUUAAGUAGACGUGAAAAACCCUGCCAUUUACGUUACCUUUAUUUCUGUGUGCCAUGAUGCAGAGGGAACAGGAAUCUCUGCCCUAUACCUGAUCAAAGGACUCAUUAUGAAGCUACAAAAUAAAUUGUUCAGCUGCAAAUAGUCCCCUUUUUAUGAUGCAGGCAUUUCUGGCUUUUUUUAAUGACUCAACUGUUUCUGCUGGAUUGUGAAUGAAUCCUUGAUUAACAACAUAUCAGCAAAAGUUGAUGUUUUGAUCAUGCAAACCCACUCUACAAUGAUUAGAGGUAACUUCUAAUAUCAGGAGAUGCCGCUUAAGUUUAUACACAUAUUGAAGUAUUAUAUAUAGCUAAGUCUGAGUUUUCUCUUUGAAAAAUAAAAAUAAGCAACUCAAUAAUUCAGUUAUGCUUAGAGAUUAUUACUCUAUGCUUCAAUCUUUGCCAUUACAUAUGAGGAGGAAGAAAUCCUCUUUCCUUCAAAAGCUUUGAUGAUUGAAUUAAGAAGAAAAGACGUAAACUUAAGAAACAUAACUACAUUACUUUGCAUAAACAAAAAAGUCGAUAUUAAAAAUGCAAUAUUCAUUCAUUCAGUGAAUCUCUAAAAAGAGUCAUCUCAAAAGUAUACAUUGAUUGAAAUUUGACAUUUUUGUUCUUUAAACAGGUUUAUUCUUUUAGUUACAUAAGAAAAUGAUUAAAGAAGCUAGUAAGAUAUUGUCAGAAAUAUGUUUGCAGACUUCUAGCUCUCUACCUAAGCAUUUUCUCUUCUUCCUGAGUGCAUGGCUAGAUCAUAUCACCCAGAUUUCCUUGCAGUUAUGUAUCAACAUCCUUAUAACCAUGUUUUCAACAAUAAGAACAUCAUUAUUUCCAGCAAAACCCAUGCAAUUUCUCAAACACCUUCCACCAUAGCCUUUGCCUACUUCAUGCAGGCUGGAAUUAGAAGCAUUAAUAAUAACUAAUUGAAAAUGACAGGGACACCCUGGGCCUAGGUCUCUGAAUGACUGGAUGGCGAAGCUUCCCAUUCACCCAACAGCAUCCAGACCAGACUGAUAUAUGAACAAGAAAUACCCUUCUCUUUCCUUCGAGCUUUUAGAUUCUGAAGUCUAUUUGUUAUUGCUAUAUAGACUACCCUAAAUCAUACAGAUAUGCAUGUAAACAUCCUGUAAUUUAAUCAAAUUAUGUUCAAUUAUUGAGGUUAGUUAAAUGAAUACUGGACUACUGUGUAGAGUAAAGCAGCUGCUAUGCAGGUUAAGAGCAGGAAUAUGGUUGCUGCAGAGUUGCAGUUAGCCCACCCUACUCUGCAGAGAUCAGUGAGGCACUUGGGGUGUGACUGCCCAUCUACAAGACUCUAUAGCAGGAAUCAAGGAGUGGGGUUCCCCAAACUUCUGCUUCUGAUAGUCCAUUCUCUAUACAGUCACAGCCUCUCCACUCCUAUCUUCUUUGAGAACACCAGGAUAUAUUUAAUUAUGCUCCUUGUCCAUGUUCGUUUUAGUUACCAAAGGAAGCUCUGGUUCUCAAAUCGCCUUAAGACUCUAUGCAUCACUUUUUCUAGGAAACCAUAAGCAUAUUCUCCCCCUUGAAACUUUUCACUGUGCCCCUAAUGUAGUAGAUGUUCUUCCUGCUCUACCAAGAUGCUCUCCAAGAUUUGCCUGUGGGCUGCUGGUGUGAAAACCUCGGGUGACUUGUUAGGGAAGACAUGGCAUGGCGAAUGGUUAUUGGGGUGGGGAAGCUGAGGAGAGGACUUGAGGUUCAUCAGUGAGCGACUUCACAAAGGACAUUUAAAAGAACUGUUGUUAUACAAGAUAUUUGUCUGGGAAAAUAUUAAGAUAUAUAUAGGAAUUACAAUAUAUGUCCAGGAAAAUACAUAUUGAAGAUCUAUAAAGAUGUGGACAUUUUGGGGCAGGGGAUUAGAACCUAAAGCAGCAUUUUUGUGGGUGGAGACCUUUAGCCUUAGUUCAGAGUGAAUGGCUUACAAGAUUAAUAACUAGAGAUGGGAUGAUUUUCUCACAAACACUCACUAUCUCCCUUUGAAGUUACUGUCUACCACAUUCCCAGGAUGACUCUUCCACUUUGUCCUGGAUGAUUUUUGUUCUGAUUUAUUAUGAUUCUCUUCAACAUGACCCCUUUCAUAAACUAGGAGUGAUUUUGAUAUUCAUGUGGAGAAUUUCCUUGUACCCAGGAUUCUGAGCCCAUCGGUCCUCUCUUCCCUAAUAAUGGCAUCUUCCGAGGUGCAGCAGGAAUGCCCGGCCAGGCGCUGGUGUGGAAUUAUCAACAGUGCAACCUGCCAAAAUCUCAGCUCUCCCACACACAUUUUGGUUUCCAGCUCACACACUCUGACUCCAGCAAUCUUUCAGUUCUGCCAGGACCUAAAUCUUUUUAUCCUUAGAAAUUUCCGCAGUCCCUCACCCCUACGCUCCUAAUAUCUUAGGCUUAAAUUUUAGGAACAUACAUUAUUGUCAUUGCCUGCGUAAACUCUCAUAAAGCUCUUGCCCUCUCUUUCUCAUUGCACUUUACUUGUGUGAAUACAACUUUUGUUAACUUGAAAUUCCCACUUACUUCAUAUCUGUACCCAUGAAAUGAAAUCUCGCUAGAAGAAAAACAAAUACCCACAAACAUCAAAAAUAAAACACUCCAACAGUAAAGUUUCUCUAAUAUUACCUGGGAACAGUAGGGUGUGUUACCAGUCUAUUCUUUUUCCUUUCUCUCAGGUGAUUAUGUAUUAAUUUUUCUCAUUUCUUUUCAAACGGCGUACUCUCCAUUCCACCCUUUAUCACUAUCAGCUGGUAAAUUUGCUUUCUACUUCAUCGAGGUAUAUAAAGAAAAUUUUAUAAUUUCAUACUAUAGACAGUGUUACCUUUUACCAUACUAUUACUUAUAUACUAAUUGUUACUUAAAUAUAUGACCAUUUCCAUAUAGCCUCAAAAAAUAAUAUGGAUUUAGACAUAUUUCUGAUAAAUAAACCAGUUAAAAUAUGCACAAUAAAAUUUUCUUUAAAAUGAAAGAUGAUUCAAGUGCCAUGUAUAAAAUACAUUCUUAGAAAAGAUUUUAAAAAUUAGGUUGUUUUUCAAAAACGUUCAGCAUAAUAUUCUAAGACUUUGUAAUUUUGUGUAUUUAUAUUUAAAACUACAUUUUAAGUAAAAUAGUCACUAGUGGGCCUUAUUGUUUUCUUUGUUCUGUUUUAAAUAACUGCAUUAUUAAAGUCACUUCAAAAUUUAUGAAAUCAUUUCUAACUAUAAAUGUUCUAACUGAAUAGAACAUAGACAAUUAAGUGCCUUAUCUUAGUUAUUUCUUCAGAUCAGCUUCUUGCUGGCUUAUUGGAGAACUGCUGAUUUUUUUCCCAUGCAUUUUGAAAGCGUCAUUUUACUGAAUGGACUAUCUCCUUGGUUCUCAGGAAAAACGUCCAUUGAUCCUUUGAUUGUUUCAGUGAGACAAUCAUAUCUGUGCAAAUAACAAUGUUUCUUUCCAAGAGCUGUUAUUUUUUUCUCUUGCUUUCUUGCUAUGAUUUAGAACAUCUAGUGUUAAUAAGCAAAUAUCCUUAUCUUGAUCUAUUUUUUUCUGAAAAUGCUGAGAUAGCUUGUUUUCUUUUUUACUUACUAUUAACAUAUAGGAAUAUAUAUAUAUGCAUAUAUAUUUAUAAUUUUAUAUUUACAUUUGUAUUUGCACAGAGUUAGAGUGAAUGAAUUCUGAAUUCUACCAAAUACUUUUCCAGUGUCACACACUCCUUUGACAAUGUAACAUGAAGAAUUUGAGUCAUUCCUUUUCUAAUAUUCAAUUGAAUUUUGAUUCUGGAAUAAAAACUACUUAGCCAUGAUGUAUGGUUACACUUCUAGGUUAAGUUUGCUAGAAUUUAAGUAUAUUAUUUUCAUCAUCUGCAUUCAUUUAAAUGAUUAAUACUUGUUUUUUUUGUUUUGUUUUUUUACAGCUGUACCUGUGGCAUAUGGAAGUUCCCAGGCUAGGGGUCAAAUCUGAGCUGCAGCUGCCACCCUACACCACAACCACAGCAACACAGGAUCCAAGCCACUUCUACAACCUACACCACAGCUCAUGGCAAUACCAGAUCCUUAACCCACUGAGCUAGGCCAGGGAUAAAACCCACACUUCAUGGAUACUAGUCUGGUUUGUUAUCACUGAGCCAUGAUGGGAACUCUGAUUAGUACUUUUUAAAAUUGCUGGGUUUUUUUUUUUUUCCAUUUAUUUUCAAGGUUAUACUCUUCAUAAAAUGAACAGAAGAGGAGGGUUCUGGGAAGAUUGGAUAGGACGCACUGAGAAUCUGUCUAGACAACAGUUGCCCUGGCAGAAUCUAAUAUAACUGUCUUGAAAUUCUGGAGUCUAUUGAAGACUUCAACUUUGAAGGAAAGGCUUAUACAGUAAAUUGUGGUUAAUUUUGGCCAUUUUCAGCUCUUAGCACACCUCUCUUCCCCACCUUAAGCCAUGUGGAAGACAGCUGUGCACAUGUUGUUGGAGAAGCUAGCAUGCAGCUUGUGGGAGCCAAGGUGGGCAAAAAGGACCAUGUUCUGUAAAUAUUGGGGCUCUGUGCUUUGAUUACUGAUUUCAGUUAUUAUAUCUCUGAUUAUAUCCUGGGUUUUCAUUCAGGAGCAGCAAUCAAUAUGUGAUUUAUAAUGUUUCCUUCCAUGGUCCAUGUCUAAGUUAUCUUUUUCUUUCCCAUUGCUGUUAACCUUGUGAUAAUCCAUCCCUUUACUUUCCUGUUUAGAGAGAUUUUGAACUUUGUGGUAGCAGCUGUGCCUGGAGAACUAGCAUCCCUCUCACUGUGUUCUUGUCUACACGGCCUCCAUUCCAGGUGGACAUCUGUUCUCAUUUACAUGGCCCCCAGUCCAGGUGGAGACUGCUGAAGUGCCCAGCCUUCCUCCUUUGCAACCCCUGAAUUUGUCAUAUAGUCUUAAAAGACUAGAAUUUCUUAGAGAAGAUUUUAGAAAACAUACAGUGGAUAAUAUAGUUCCAUGAAGGAUUUUGCUUAUUUCUUGAUAUUCUAUAUUGUUUUCUCAGAAGAGAGACAAGUGGAUUCAGGAUCCAUUCCUUCAACCAGUUACAUCUGCACUCGAGCAGAAAUUUCUUAAGGUUUUCAAUGAGGCCAUAAACCUUCCAAGAUUUGCAGAUUUAUUGCUAUUUUUAAGUAUCUUUGGUGGACCAGGAAGAGGGGUUUUAAUUCUGCUCACCACUUGAUUGUGAGGUAUAUUGUCAAAAUGCUAUAGAUACAAUUCUUGCUAUAUUUGCCUUUUGUGUGUGGAGUUGAUAACCCAUUGAGUGCCUGAUUUGUUGCCAAAUAAUCCCCAAAUCUAUUUUAGGUUUAAAUUUUUUUUAAAGAGGCACUAUGUUUUAAGUCACCUUCAGUCUUCUAUUAUAUAACUGCAUACAAAUCUGUUACCUCUCAAACAAUAGCAAAUGUAGAUUUAGCUCAAUCCAUAAAUAUUUAUCCCCUAGAACCAGUACCAGAAACCUUUUGUAUUCUAGCUUAAGCCUAGCAAAUUCAAAUCAGUCUGUCCUUAUUUCAUGGUGGAUAAAUAAAUAUGAGAUUGGAGUACUUUUGAGAUAAUUCAAUACAUUUUCAGGCCUGGACAAACUUCAUUUAGAUGUAGACUUUAAAGUUAGCCAGAAGCCACUCUGUGUUGGCUAAUGCGAAUACCGUAUUGAACUCUGAAAGUCUUACUAGAUAUGUGGAAGUGGGAUGCAUCUGAUUAUGUUAACACUGUUUCACUGUCCAGCAAAACCUCUGUUUUUUUUUUAAUCCCUCUCUAGUCCAACUAGAUGCGAUGUAUCUUGCAGUGUUUUUAUUGUCAGCUACACUACUUACCCUUCUGCUGAUUACAAAAUUAGCUCUUGUAAUUAAACAGUUACUUCAAAUUUGGUGUCUCAUGAUACAUAUGCCAAACAAUAAUGACAAUUCUUUACAUUCACUGUCCUUCUCUUGCCUCUAUAAUUCUAUUUGUGUUUUCCUCUGAAUGAAUAGGAGAAAGUAAAAAUAUCUGUAUAUAAUAUAAUAAAAAAUUUAGACAAAUGAAAAAGUAAAAAUAAGCCUAUUGCUAACAUCUUCUUGACUGAUAAUUUUGUUUAUAUUAUUACCUUUGCUUUUUUAAGAACCUGGAUUUUAAAAUAAUCAUAAUAGUAUAAAAUGUAUUUUUUUGUCCUGAUGACUCUAUGGACUAGAGAUUAAUGAAAAAGAAAAUAGUAUCCAGGAGUUCCCGUCGUGGCUCAGUGGUUAACGAAUCUGACUAAGAACCAUGAGGUUGCAGGUUCGAUCCUUGGCCUUGCUCAGUGGGUUAAGGAUCCAGUGUUGCUGUGAGCUGUGGUGUAGGUCACAGAUGCGGCUCGGAUCCCGCGUUGCUGUGGCUCUGGUGUCGGUCAGAGGCUACAGCCCCGAUUAGACCCCUAGCCUGGGAAUCUCCAUAUGCCGCAGAAGUGACCCUAGAAAUGGCAAAAAGACCAAAAAAAAAAA
rnacentral:lncRNA from 1 species